AGGCCUGUAGCUCAAUGGUUAGAGCAGAGCGCUCAUAACGCUUUGGUUGGGGGUUCGAAUCCCUCCAGGCCUACCA
rnacentral:tRNA from 1 species